rnacentral:rRNA from 1 species
GACAGAGGGUGCAAACGUUGUUCGGAAUUACUGGGCGUAAAGCGUGCGCAGGCGGCCUUGCAAGUCGGGCGUGAAAUCCCACGGCUCAACCGUGGAAGUGCACUCGAAACUGCUUGGCUAGAGUCUUGGAGAGGAAGGCGGAAUGCUUGGUGUAGAGGUGAAAUUCGUAGAUAUCAAGCGGAACACCGGUGGCGAAGGCGGC